GAAGCAUGGUUCAGCCCUGGACGAAGCCAUCGUCCAGCUACUGGAUUUCUGGAGGAACGCUUGCGAAAUGUCAGGAAGAGAACCCGUCGUGAAAACUGCACAAGUCGUGAGAAAGAGGAUUCUCAAGCCAUAAGCAGCACCUUGGUUAUACCAGGUAAAAAUUUAAAUUUGCUAUCUUUUACUAAAAGCAAGUGUUUAUUAUUUUGGCAAAUAUCCUUAAUUUUGUUGUUAAAAUUAUAUUUAUUUGUAGAGCCAAGUAUUUCACCUGACAGAGCAGUACAACUUGCAGAAUGGCUUAAAAAUAAUAUGUGGCCAGCUAACCAAGUUGCAGAUUACAUGAAAGAAACAGCCAUCCACAGGGCUCAGUGGAUAAGAGCUAACGGGACAAAAUCUAUCGAGGAAAUAACUUGUGAAUUCCCUCGACUCCUUGAUACGCCAGGCAUGAUUUCACAAGACUUCUCUGUAUUAUUCCCCGACCACGCAGAGAGACUUUUCCAAACUUGGAAAAUGAGUUUCAAAGACAAAAUCCUUUGCUUUGCCAGCCAGGAGAAAAAGCGCAGGAGCUUCUCCAGAAUUUAGACAGUUUGUCUCCAGGUACAGUUGUGAAUGCAAGAACUAAUAGUUAUUCAUUAGAAUAAUGAUGACAAAAUAAUUAAUACAAAAUAUUAAUCUGCACAGAAGUCCAAAGUGACGUUGCACUCAGGCUGCUUCCUGUAAUACUGCCCACCCCUGUCUACAAAAAAGGGAUGAAAAUGUUCAAACCAAGCUUGGAAGAAAAUAUCAAGUCUUUCAUUGAAUUCAAGCAUGUUGGGACCAACAUGGUUGAAUAUUUGAAGGAGGCAGAGCUCACUAAACCCUUCCCCUUUGUCCUUGGUCUUGGGGAUGACAGUCAAUGCCAUCAAGCCUUUGUAGUUGUUGGCAAACAGGCACUGCAUCAAAACACACUCCUUGGUGCUGUGGACACGUGUUUUAAACUUUUUUAUGUUUUAGACAUCCAUUUCCCGAAGCAGUGUGCACCAGUGUGGGAGUUUUUGCAGACUGUUGUCUACAAACUCCCAGGAACUGAAUCUCCUUCUGUAAGACUGCUCCGUGGAUAUUUGUCAUGUUGA
rnacentral:lncRNA from 1 species